rnacentral:rRNA from 1 species
UAGGGAAUUUUCGUCAAUGGGCGCAAGCCUGAACGAGCGAUGCCGCGUGAGUGAAGAAGGCCUUCGGGUCGUAAAGCUCUGUUGCGGGGGAAAAAAGGCAGCAUCAAGGAAAUGGGUGCUGACUGAUGGUGCCCCGCCAGAAAGUCACGGCUAACUACGUGCC